rnacentral:rRNA from 1 species
UGGGGAAUAUUGCACAAUGGGCGCAAGCCUGAUGCAGCCAUGCCGCGUGUGUGAAGAAGGCCUUCGGGUUGUAAACCUCUUUUAGCAAGGAAGAAGCGAAAGUGACGGUACUUGCAGAAAAAGCGCCGGCUAACUACGUGCCAGCAGCCGCGGUAAUACGUAGGGCGCAAGCGUUAUCCGGAAUUAUUGGGCGUAAAGAGCUCGUAGGCGGUUUGUCGCGUCUGCUGUGAAAACCCGAGGCUCAACCUCGGGCCUGCAGUGGGUACGGGCAGACUAGAGUGCGGUAGGGGGAGAUUGGAACUCCUGGUGUAGCGGUGGAAUGCGCAGAUAUCAGGAAGAACACCGAUGGCGAAGGCAGAUCUCUGGGCCGUAACUGACGCUGAGGAGCGAAAGGGUGGGGAGCAAACAGGCUUAGAUACCCUGGUAGUCCACCCCGUAAACGUUGGGAACUAGUUGUGGGGUCCAUUCCACGGAUUCCGUGACGCAGCUAACGCAUUAAGUUCCCCGCCUGGGGGAGUACGGCCGCAAGGCUAAAACUCAAAGGAAUUGACGGGGUCAUAGCUGUUUCCU